rnacentral:rRNA from 1 species
CGGGAGCAUGUGCACGCCGGUCACUUUUAUCUUACCACCUGUGAACACUUUGUAGAUCUGGAGGCAUCUUCACAGACUCUUUUGUCUGUGGUUUUUGGAAGCUGUCGUUCGACUCUUCCUGGCCUUCAGGUUUAUGUCUUUACAUCUACACCAUAAGCAUGUAAACGAAUGAAAUCAAUGGCAGCUUCAUUGCAGCCUAUAAAACUUAAACAACUUUCAGCAACGGAUCUCUUGGCUCUCGCAUCGAUGAAGAACGCAGCGAAAUGCGAUAAGUAAUGUGAAUUGCAGAAUUCAGUGAAUCAUCGAAUCUUUGAACGCACCUUGCGCUCCUUGGUAUUCCGAGGAGCAUGCCUGUUUGAGUGUCAUUAAAUUCUCAACCAUCCUGUCUUUCUUUCAAGAGGGCGGUGAUGCGUUGGAUGUGGGGACCUGCCUGUUUCUUACGAGACUUCGGCUUCCCUUAAAAGCAUUAGCUAGAGCGCUUCUGUUGACUAGCUGCUAGUGUGAUAAUUAUCUACACUGUGGCCAACGAAGGAAACUCUGCUUCUAAUCGUCUGCUUGCAGACAACUCCUGAUAUCUUGACCUCAAAUCAGGUAGGACUACCCGCUGAACUUAAGCAUAUCAAUAAGCGGAGGAAAAGAAACUAACAAGGAUUCCCCUAGUAACUGCGAGUGAAGCGGGAAAAGCUCAAAUUUAAAUCUGGCAGUCUUUGAUUGUCC